GGGGUUGUGGCCCACUGGUAGAGCACUCACCUAGCAUGUGUGAGGCCCUGGGUUCGAUCCUCAGCACCA
rnacentral:tRNA from 1 species